CUACGGGAGGCAGCAGUGAGGAAUAUUGCACAAUGGGGGGAACCCUGAUGCAGCAACGCCGCGUGGAGGAUGACGCAUUUCGGUGUGUAAACUCCUUUUAUAUGUCAAGAAAAUGACGGUAGCAUAUGAAUAAGCACCGGCUAACUCCGUGCCAGCAGCCGCGGUAAUACGGAGGGUGCAAGCGUUACUCGGAAUCACUGGGCGUAAAGGACGCGUAGGCGGGUUGGAAAGUCAGGUGUGAAAUCCUACAGCUUAACUGUAGAACUGCACUUGAAACUUCUAAUCUGGAGUGUGGGAGGGGGAGAUGGAAUUAGUGGUGUAGGGGUAAAAUCCGUAGAUAUCACUAGGAAUACCUAAAGCGAAGGCGAUCUCCUGGAACAUUACUGACGCUAAGGCGUGAAAGCGUGGGGAGCAAACAGGAUUAGAUACCCGGGUAGUC
rnacentral:rRNA from 1 species